CUGAACACCGCCGCCGCCGCCGAUCCCAUCUUCCCCGGUGACAUACCUCGCUGGUGGCCUCCUCUCCCCCAUCCAUGCCGGCGACCUCCCUCUACCCCGCCCUCUCCGUCAACACGUCUCCCAGCAGCUCGGGCGAAACCCUAGCCCACCCGAUGCCACGUCGACCUAGCAGGCAGGCGGGAGGAGCCCUGCCCGACCAUGGCGACACCGCCGGCGGCCUCCUCCACCCCCUCACCUUCUCUCCCUCUCCCAAGGGAGGGAAGGGAAUGGAGGGAUCCGGCAGCAAGGGGAGGCAGCGCCCAGAUCCGCAGCCGCACUGGCGGCCCGCCGUCCCUCAAGGUCGUCCAUGGAGGUCCGAACGUGAUACAAGCUUGAGUUACGCCAUAAAGACUUACCUAUCUAUGUAUCUUAGUUACGAGAGCAUCAAGGUAUGAACGUGAUACACUACCACCUAUUUUUACUCGAAUGGACCAAAUCAUCAAUGUUAAAAUUCUGAUGUCCACCUAAAAGUAACUGUAUGUAGCAGUCAUACAGUAGCCCAGUGAAUAGAUGCCUAUGAAUGCAAGCUUCUAAAUUUCUGCUUGUGCAGCCAAUAAUGGUUAUUCGCUCAGAAUUGUCGAUUGCCGCUGACCACUUCUCAGAUUUCUAUUAACACGAGGACCAGAACAAGCAGGUUGAUGUGCAAAUAUAUAGUUUCUAUUGGAAGAGUUAGCUUCAGACAAUGUACGAUCUAUGCAAAAUCCAUCAUCUCAUGCUUGCAUAACAAGACGGAUGGUAAUUUGUUUACUACUCUACUUACUGCAGUUUACAAAUUCUUUUAUGGCUUCAGUUCCCAUGCCGCUACGCGUGCAGGUCUCUGCUUGCUCAGUCCUCUUGCCGCGACACCAUCACCAAGUCACUCAGAGCCCACCACCGCCACAAACACCCCAUGCCGUCACACGUGACAGUCGCAGCAUCACAACUUCACUUUAAAUCAUUAAAAUUUCAAAACACCAAUCAAUUCAUGUUCAAGUCGAGAACUAAUAAAUGUAGACGACCUUCACGUCGAAAAUUCUGUCUAAGUAAGCACGAUACAAAUUAUUUUGGCCUGGUAUACCACUAAAACAUUUUUGAAAUUAUUUGAAAAGUAUAAGAUAUUCAUUGUUAUUUCUCAAGUAAGAUAUCCCCCUUUGUUAGUACUGCCCUAUUCCUUUUCCUUUUUUCAGGAAAGUGGAAGGAGUGAUGAAGAACUAAAACAUAGUUACAGUGGGCGUUUUUUAUAGGAAAAAAACUGAAGAAUUUGAGAUUAAUAUAAUUUUAGGAUUAAUUCAGGUGUCCCUGGUUUUGUUAGCAUCAGAACAUGUUGACCUAAUUGUCCAUGGUUACACUCAUCUUCAAACAGCACAACUUGUUUUGCUGCACAUCUUCUCUUAACAUAUGAUGAACAACUAUUCUAUGUUUCAUCCCUCUCUUAUUUCACACUGCAUUAACAAUGUUUUCUCAGUAUGUGGAUUUCCCUAACUUUGCCUUAUUGAUUAUUCAUUUUGUUACUGAUGUGUACACAAACCCCGCCUAAUUAAUUUAGUCUACUAUAUCUAACCAUAUGAAAUCUCAAAGUUGAUUCAUACUACUUGCCUUAUGGUGUGGUACAUUACCUCUGGGGUUUUUUAACUACGAGAGCAGAACGACUACGCCGACGUGGAUGACUCAGAGGUCAACCUUGUAAAGGGCCGCAAGCAGUGGCGACUAUCUUUUCCACGAGAAGAUGACCAAGGGCGCCGUCGGCCACUUUGUCGUCGCCGUCGAAGAGUCCAAGUUCGUCCCCGCAUCGGUUGCAUUGGUGUCGAUCAGGUGCUAAUCUGAAUCCUUGUCCAAUUUCAUGUGGACUAUAAAAAAACCAGGGUUGAAUGCACAUUACCAUCACACUGCCAUUUAGUUUUUGUUGGUACGCAAUAAUAUUGCUACAGUUCUAUUUAUAGAUUUUUUGCCCAUUUUGUCUUUGUCUUUGUCCAUGGUCAGAUCAUGGUUUUUAGGCUUGAUUGUUAUGAGUCAGUAAGGUGAGAAUGAGCGGUAAUGGUUUAACUAAUCAUGCCAUCAUGUUUUUAGUAUCACUAAUUUAUCUAUGCUAAUUCUUUCAACAUUAUUGUCAUUGUUGACGAUUCUAAAAGGUAAAGAGAAAUGUUAAAGAAUGCACCUUCUGCUAUGGCAUGCGGCCCCACCGGCUCCGCGGAUGUCUACACGGUCUUCGUCCUUAACCACUGUCUAGCGCCACUGCCCUGCAGCUUCUGUGACCUCUGUUGGCCUCCUCAUGGCUCCUUCACCCUCCAGCUUCCCACGUGCUUCUCUGUUGCACAAGAACUUUCCUGCCCAGGUGGUUGCCGGUUUUCUGGAUUGGUUUUGGUACUAUUGAAGAAGUAGAACCAGUUCCACCCAAAUCGAUUGUUUAUUUGUGUAAUGCAAUCUCUAUUAUGCUCAGAGUCUGAUUGGCAUUUUCCAAAUCAAUGCACGGGGACCUUCGAUUUGAUUUAGUUUUAUCUUCUACUACAGAUAGGGAAAUAUGGACACUAGAUAUCCAUUUCUUAGGUGUCAAUCUGGUGCUUAGGCUGUAUAAUAGUAUAGGGCCGAGUUCUUCCAUCUACUAAUUUAGGUAAUCUGAUCUAUAGGUUAGGCACUUUGCUUUAAGCAUAGUUACCUAUUCGAUGGUGACCAACCCUCUCUCAGAAGCGUCGUACAAACAAUUCAGGCGCUUCCUUAAAAUUUAUUACUUUAGAGACAUGGGGAUCCUGAGGUUGACACACUUGAUUCUUGCUGCUGCUUAUGCAUCACUGGACUUUAGUUAAAUGUAUGAUUAUCUGGAUAUUCCCAAUACAUUAUCAAGUGUAGGGUUCAGAAAAUAAGGACAGCCAUUUGUUCCACCUUUUGUAGUUCAUCAAGAAUAUGAUGUUAAAAAAACGACAACUUGCCAAGUUACAGUUCUGAAAUAUUUCCUUUUGUAGCAUAUGUACCAGCAAGAUGGUGAACUAGAUUCAAAUUUGAUACUCCCCUUUUCCAUGAAAUAUUUCCUCUGCAUUUUUAUUUGUCAUUUAUUUAUGUAUGGAUGCUCGUGUUGCAAGGUUUAGCCACUGCUUCAACAUUGUAGGAAUUUCUUGUGGUCUCGAAUGCGAAUUUCUUGUGGUCUCGAAUGGAUGAACAUAGAGCGCUAGCUUCAUAAUGCCUCUGAGACGAUAUGUCGGAGAUGGUAUUGAUUUAUUUUUUAAGGUUAGCAAGUGACUUAUUUGGAGUAAUCUCAGGGAUAUGUCUUUGUUAUCAGUUGCAAGUUACUAUGCAGAUUGAUAAUGGUAAAAAUAUUGUUGGAUAAAUCUAAUUCCAUUGAAUUAACAGAUUUUUUCCGUUGUGGGCAUUCGAAUAUUUAGAGUAAUAUGCAUGCACAAUUGUCUUAAAUCUACACGUAACCAGUCAAUCACUACUUUGUACUAUAUGCUAUGAAAAUAUUAUGUGAGCAAACUUAAGUAGUAACCUUAUAUGGCUAUGCACUGAAAAUGGUCUUAGGUACAUCCAGUUUCAGUACAUUCACAUAUUGAGGCCACUGUAAAUGCUUCUACUAUUGCAGGUUCAACUUGAAUCUUCACUUCCGUAGGCAUGUAACUGAUUCGCUUCUUGAUGAGUUUUUAGCUCGCUGAUUCAAUCCAUAUAGCUUGUGAGCGGCCUGAUGACGCCGACCCCUUAUCGACGCGGCCAUAUUGUACGGGCGGGCAAGUCAACGUUAGGUGGCCGGAUCCCAAGAUGGAGGGCGGCCUCCUACCGGUCCACGACUUUCUUCUCGGUGGCGGCGCACACGAGGUCAUCCACAUCGGCUUCAACAAGACGCGAGCACCCACACGGAGGAGGACGGCUUGCUUGCUGAUGGCGUUGUCCACCCGGACGACGGUGUGCUGUUGACCACGCAAAGGGCCGCAUCCACCUGGACGACAGUGUGCUGGCGGAGUAUGGCGUCCGCCCGAACGAUGACAGAUAACAUGGCGAACGUUGACGGCCACCAGGUACUCCCCGGCGAUGCGGCAACAUCAUCAUGGACGACAGCAUGCUUAUGGCCAGUGACGUGCUUGUAGAAGGCGUUGUGAGAGAGGCAACCAGCAGGACGGUGACGACCACGUGCACGCACUCGAACACAACGGCAGCAAGCAGGACGAUGGUGACCAGGUGUGCAUGCAAGCAUCUCCUAGGAACUGGGGCUGAACGACGAGGCUAGCAUCUCAUACGAGCUCACGCUCAAGCACAAGAUUGCGUGGGCUGGGCGUCUCAUCUGGCCUUGCUGGUAUGUGUCCUUUUCUCCUCUCAUGAGAUCAUCAUGUGCCAAUUAUGCUGGAGUUGUAUACCUUGUAGGUAGAUAAUACACUGCAAGGCCUAGCCAAUAAGCAUUUCCUAUUUUGGCGAUGAAUGUUACAAUAGUAGGAUCUGCAUCUAGGCACCCUUAUAUGAACUGUAACUUACAGAGCAAGCAAAUCAUAUACAUUGUUUGUGGGCCCAAUCUCAUUCAUAUAUAUAACCAUUAUA